rnacentral:rRNA from 1 species
AAUGAACGCUGGCGGCGUGCCUAAUACAUGCAAGUCGAGCGACCAGACGAGGAGCUUGCUCCUUCGACGUUAGCGGCGGACGGGUGAGUAACACGUAGGUAACCUACCUAUAAGACUGGGAUAACUUCGGGAAACCGGAGCUAAUAACAGAUCAUAUUUCGAACCGCAUGGUUCGAUAGUGAAAGAUGGCUUUGCUGUCACUUAUAGAUGGACCGGCGCCGUAUUAGCUAGUUGGUAAGGUAACGGCUUACCAAGGCAACGAUACGUAGCCGACCUGAGAGGGUGAUCGGCCACACUGGAACUGAGACACGGUCCAGACUCCUACGGGAGGCAGCAGUAGGGAAUAUUGCGCAAUGGGCGAAAGCCUGACGGAGCAACGCCGCGUGAGUGAUGAAGGUCUUCGGAUCGUAAAACUCUGUUAUUAGGGAAGAACAAACGUGUAAGUAACUGUGCACGUCUUGACGGUACCUAAUCAGAAAGCCCCGGCUAACUACGUG